CACCAACCCAAGAUUCUCCUAAACGGCGAAACCCUAUUAGAGCCACCAUCACCAUCUCCCCUUUCAUUCUGCUCUUCUCCUCACGUCGCCAGAAGCUAAGGUCGGUUCGGGGCUGUUGUUGGCGUCGCCGUUUCUCUGUCCGAGCUCUCUGUCGCUGCUUCUUUGCUCUUCACCGUUGGUCGUUGCCGCUUCUCCACUCCUCGCCGUGGGUCGUCACUGCUUCUCCCCUCCUCGUCGUUUUUGGAUGUCGCCCCUUCUCGUCUCCCCGCCAUUCUUGUCGUCGCUUCUCUGUUUCACGUUACCAAAAUUCCCAAUUUGAAUUUCUCUAUCUCGCUGGCUCUAUGCUGUCUUUUCCUCUCCUUCAUUAAAACGUAAAACAUCCCCUUUAUCCUCUUCAAUAAUGUUCAAUUUGUUGUAAUUGUAUUACAUUGUUUUCUUCUUUAUUUUGUUCUGAAUAUACGUAUGAUAAAUUAUUGAUGAUUCUGCUGAGUUUUGAGAUAUGUUUUAUUUGAAUUCAGUCAAUUGAUGUUGAAUUAAUUCUGCUAAGAUUGAGUUAUAAAUUUACUUUUUUUUAGUUUAAUUUAUUAAUUAUGCUGAGAUUAAUAUUGAAUUAAUUCUACUGAGAUUGGGUUAUAAAUCCAAUCUGUUUUUCUUGUUAUUUUGCUGUCAUUGAUUCAAAAGAGAAACAUUGCUACAAUUCUGCAUUGGAUUUACUAUAUGGCUUUAAAAUAAGGGUUGGAUGAAGUUCAGACAAGGAGAUAAUUUAUUCAUAGGAAAAGAGAAUGAAGUUAAGAAGUAAAGAACAAAAAGAUUACCUAAUUUAUGAAAAUGGAAAAUUCAGGAAUGGAAACCUAAUUUAUAAAGGUUAUUCAUGCUUUUAUAUUGUGUUUUUUUUUUUGUUUAGUUAAUUUAAUUGUCAGUUUUUGUGUAUUCUGAGCUUCUUACUGUGUUGUGGAAUUGCUUCUUCUUGUUCAAAUUGAAGACUAUACUGAUUUCUUUUUCUCCCUGCACCAUACUAAAAUUUGUGGCCUCAAAUUUAGGUAGCCUAUAAUGGAUCAUUAUCUUCUAUUAUAUCUGGAACUGAUAUUGUUUGACCAAGCUUAGAAGUUGCUAAUGUGUUAUAUAUACAUGAAGAUUGAGAAACUUAAAUGAAAGAACCAAGCUUCGACCAAUUUUAAUUCAUACAAUGCUUUAAUUGCUCUGUACCUUAUCUCACAAUAUAUGCCACUUUGAAUUUUUAAUAAUUUUAUGUUAUAUUUGACACUACCAGCCAUUGACUAAGGAGACCUACCCUGUGAUGAUGCAUUUGGGAUUUUCGAAACAGGUGCAAUUGCAAUAGGUGUAGGAGCAAUUGCUGCAUUUGAAACAAUAAUAAUUAGUUGGUGUACAAAUGCAUUGUAAAUUCAUUAAGUCUAUCACUAUUUUUUCUUUUUGGAAAAUUCUAUGGUGUGAAUUGAAUAAAAUGUCCACAGUACGGAUCAUGUGUGGUUUGCUUCCUUGGAUAGCAAUUCUUGUUUUGCUUGAUCAAUUUUCAUUUGGCCAACCCAAGCUGAAUUUUAUAUGCAAACUUUUCUGUUUCAUUUUUUUUGUUAAAUGAGAGGAAAUUGCAAAGAGUUAUAAAGAGAAUGAUGGAGGAGAAUGAAGAAGGUUUGCAAAUGAGAAAGAGAAUCAAACAGUUGAGUGAUGCUGCUGCUGCUGCACUCACUCAAAAUGGGUACAGCAUCUGUGGUAUUAGCAGGAUUGCUUUCUACCUUAAAAUUAGUUAGGGGAACCUUAGCUGACGGCUGACCAUACCUUCUUAUUUUUGGGUGCUGGAGAGGAUCUCCACUAUGGUUGAGGGAGAAACUUCCCACUUAGAACUGAACCAAACAACUCUAGUGCUCAGAGUCUCGGUUACAUAGAUGAUCAUAAGCAAAGGAGAGUGGAAAGAAUCGGAUUUUUGGACGGUACCAUCAUGUAUUCAACUUUUCAAACAGAUUGUAAGGUGGUGCAAGUACCAAACAUGAACCAGAAAUUAAUAGACCACAUGUGCCAACGAUUUGAUCUGUCGUCGGGAAAAUUGUAUGUCCGGAUUCUUCCCACUAUAAAGCGUUUUAAAGACGCAGAUUAUAUAUACUUCUGUUAUAAGAAAUACGACGCCGACUUUUUCAGUUUACAUGAGGCUGGGCAAAAAAAUUUUGUGGCACUCAAGAAGGUUUGCCGUGGAUUUAUUACAGGACUGGUGAAUCUUCACCAGUCAGGUAAGGUCCACGGUAAUAUUACUCGUUACGAUUUAGUAACGAGUAAUGGCGAUGGGUAUCUAGGAGGAGGAUUUGGACCGUCUUUUUCAGAAACUUAUAUUACAGAUAGAUGGGGAGUUCCAAGAAGGAUAUGUUUGACCUUGUAAAAGCGCUUUCAAAGACAAAGAUCUUCUCAACUAUCCUGAUGAUAAUCUUGGAAUGUUCAUCAAUUAUUUGAAGAACAACAAUAUACUGAACCCAAUAACAUUCCAUCCAUAUGUUUUAGUUUCAAUGGAAGUUCGUAGUCUUUAUGUUACAGUUGAAGAAGAUUUUAGACAAAUGUGCCCUGUCACUUUGAACGCGAGAUUCAAGACCCUUAGAUGCGUUAGGAAUUAUCGAACAAAUGGCUGGCAUAGUGUUGUAAUGAGCUCGGGCGACCCAAUUCUGCUUACAGUUUUUAUGCGUCCAAAUUCAAAUUAUCGAGAUGAUGAUAG